rnacentral:rRNA from 1 species
GUGUCAGCAGCCGCGGUAAUACGUAGGGAGCAAGCGUUGUCCGGAAUCAUUGGGCGUAAAGCGCGCGUAGGUGGCCCGGUAAGUCCGCUCUGAAAGUCACAGGCUCAACCUGUGAAAGCGUGUGGAUACUGCCGGGCUAGAGUCCGGAAGAGGCGAGUGGAAUUCCUGGUGUAGCGGUGGAAUGCGCAGAUAUCAGGAGGAACACCAACGGCGAAGGCAGCUCGCUGGGACGGUACUGACACUGAGGCGCGAAAGCGUGGGGAGCGAACAGGAUUAGAAACCCUCGUAGUCC